UCGGGAAUUUUGGGCAAUGGGCGAAAGCCUGACCCAGCAACGCCGCGUGAAGGAUGAAGUAUUUCGGUAUGUAAACUUCGAAAGAAUAGGAAGAAUAAAUGACGGUACUAUUUAUAAGGUCCGGCUAACUACGUGCCAGCAGCCGCGGUAAUACGUAGAGACCAAGCGUUGUUCGGAUUUACUGGGCGUAAAGGGCGCGUAGGCGGCAAUUCAAGUCAUCUGUGAAAUCUCCGGGCUUAACUCGGAACGGUCAGAUGAUACUGCUUUGCUAGAGUGCAGAAGGGGCAAUCGGAAUUCUUGGUGUAGCGGUGAAAUGCGUAGAUAUCAAGAGGAACACCUGAGGUGAAGACGGGUUGCUGGGCUGACACUGACGCUGAGGCGCGAAAGCCAGGGGAGCAAACGGGAUUAGAUACCCCCGUAGUCCCUGAGCGGGCUGGCAAGGCGCAU
rnacentral:rRNA from 1 species